rnacentral:tRNA from 1 species
GCCUGGGUGGCUCAGUCAGUUGAGCAUCUGACUUUGGCUCAGGUCAUGAUCUCGUGGUUUGUAGGCUCGAGCCUGCAUUGGGCU